GGACUGAGACACGGCCCAGACUCCUACGGGAGGCAGCAGUAGGGAAUCUUCCGCAAUGGACGAAAGUCUGACGGAGCAACGCCGCGUGAGUGAUGAAGGCUUUCGGGUCGUAAAACUCUGUUGUUAGGGAAGAACAAGUACAAGAGUAACUGCUUGUACCUUGACGGUACCUAACCAGAAAGCCACGGCUAACUACGUGCCAGCAGCCGCGGUAAUACGUAGGUGGCAAGCGUUAUCCGGAAUUAUUGGGCGUAAAGCGCGCGCAGGCGGUUUCUUAAGUCUGAUGUGAAAGCCCACGGCUCAACCGUGGAGGGUCAUUGGAAACUGGGGAACUUGAGUGCAGAAGAGAAAAGCGGAAUUCCACGUGUAGCGGUGAAAUGCGUAGAGAUGUGGAGGAACACCAGUGGCGAAGGCGGCUUUUUGGUCUGUAACUGACGCUGAGGCGCGAAAGCGUGGGGAGCAAACAGGAUUAGAUACCCUGGUAGUCCACGCCGUAAACGAUGAGUGCUAAGUGUUAGAGGGUUUCCGCCCUUUAGUGCUGCAGCUAACGCAUUAAGCACUCCGCCUGGGGAGUACGGUCGCAAGACUGAAACUCAAAGGAAUUGACGGGGGCCCGCACAAGCGGUGGAGCAUGUGGUUUAAUUNRAARCAACGCGAAGAACCUUACCAGGUCUUGACAUCCUCUGACAACUCUAGAGAUAGAGCGUUCCCCUUCGGGGGACARAGUGACAGGUGGUGCAUGGUUGUCGUCAGCUCGUGUCGUGAGAUGUUGGGUUAAGUCCCGCAACGAGCGCAACCCUUGAUYUUAGUUGCCAGCAUUUAGUUGGGCACUCUAAGGUGACUGCCGGUGACAAACCGGAGGAAGGUGGGGAUGACGUCAAAUCAUCAUGCCCCUUAUGACCUGGGCUACACACGUGCUACAAUGGAUGGUACAAAGGGCUGCAAGACCGCGAGGUCAAGCCAAUCCCAUAAAACCAUUCUCAGUUCGG
rnacentral:rRNA from 1 species